rnacentral:rRNA from 1 species
UACGUAGGGUGCGAGCGUUGUCCGGAAUUAUUGGGCGUAAAGAGCUCGUAGGCGGUUUGGCAAGUCGGGUGUGAAAACUCCGGGCUCAACUCGGAGACGCCACUCGAUACUGCCAUGACUCGAGUCCGGUAGGGGCAGAGGGAAUUUCCGGUGGAGCGGUGAAAUGCGUAGAGAUCGGAAAGAACACCAACGGCGAAAGCACUCUGCUGGGCCGACACUGACACUGAGAGACGAAAGCUAGGGGAGCGAAUGGG